UGAGGAAUAUUGGGCAAUGCCCGAAAGGGUGACCCAGCAACGCCGCGUGGAGGAUGAAGGUCGUAAGAUUGUAAACUCCUGUUAGAGGGGAAGAAUAACUAAGUUUGGAGCUUAGUAUGACUGUACCCUCAGAGAAAGCCCCGGCUAACUACGUGCCAGCAGCCGCGGUAAUACGUAGGGGGCAAGCGUUGUCCGGAUUUACUGGGUGUAAAGGGCGCGCAGGCGGAAUGUAAAGUCAGUGGUGAAAUCCUACAGCUUAACUGUAGAACUGCCUUUGAUACUUUCAUUCUUGAGUUCGGGAGAGAGAGACGGAAUUCCAGGUGUAGUGGGGAAAUACGUAGAUAUCUGGAAGAACACCAGUUGCGAAGGCGGUCUCUUGGUCCGAUACUGACGCUGAGGCGCGAAAGCGUGGGGAGCAAACA
rnacentral:rRNA from 1 species